UACGGGGGGAGCAAGCGUUGUUCGGAUUUACUGGGCGUAAAGGGCGCGUAGGCGGCCAGCACACGUCAGUUGUGAAAUCUCCGAGCUUAACUCGGAAAGGUCAACUGAUACUGUGCGGCUAGAGUGCGGAAGGGGCAACUGGAAUUCUUGGUGUAGCGGUGAAAUGCGUAGAUAUCAAGAGGAACACCUGCGGCGAAGGCGGGUUGCUGGGCCGACACUGACGCUGAUGCGCGAAAGCCAGGGGAGCGAACGGG
rnacentral:rRNA from 1 species